UACGGGGGGGGGCAAGCGUUGUUCGGAAUUACUGGGCGUAAAGGGCUCGUAGGCGGCCAACUAAGUCAGACGUGAAAUCCCCAGGCUCAACUUGGGAACUGCAUCCGAUACUGGAUGGCUUGAAUCCGGGAGAGGGAUGCAGAAUUCCAGGUGUAGCGGUGAAAUGCGUAGAUAUCUGGAGGAAUACCGGUGGCGAAGGCGGCAUCCUGGACCGGCAUUGACGCUGAACGGCGAAAGCUAGGGGAGCAAACGGG
rnacentral:rRNA from 1 species